GUACUUUCAGCAGUGAGGAAGUGGAUAUGUUAAUAGCAUAUUCAUUUGACGUUAGCUGCAGAAGAAGCACCGGCUAACUCCGUGCCAGCAGCCGCGGUAAUACGGAGGGUGCGAGCGUUAAUCGGAAUUACUGGGCGUAAAGCGCAUGCAGGUGGUUGUUAAGUCAGAUGUGAAAGCCCGGGGCUCAACCUCGGAAUUGCAUUUGAAACUGGCAAACUAGAGUACUGUAGAGGGGGGUAGAAUUUCAGGUGUAGCGGUGAAAAUGCGUAGAGAUCUGAAGGAAUACCGGUGGCGAAGGCGGCCCCCUGGACAGAUACUGACACUCAGGAUGCGAAAGCGUGGGGAGCAAACAGGAUUAGAUACCCCGGAG
rnacentral:rRNA from 1 species